rnacentral:rRNA from 1 species
AGUAACACGUGAGCAAUCUGCCUUUCAGAGGGGGAUACCGAUUGGAAACGAUCGUUAAUACCGCAUAACAUAAUUGAACCGCAUGAUUUGAUUAUCAAAGAUUUAUCGCUGAAAGAUGUGCUCGCGUCUGAUUAGCUAGUUGGUAAGGUAACGGCUUACCAAGGCGACGAUCAGUAGCCGGACUGAGAGGUUGAUCGGCCACAUUGGGACUGAGACACGGCCCAGACUCCUACGGGAGGCAGCAGUGGGGAAUAUUGCACAAUGGAGGAAACUCUGAUGCAGCGAUGCCGCGUGAGGGAAGAAGGUUUUAGGAUUGUAAACCUCUGUCUUCAGGGACGAAAAAAGACGGUACCUGAGGAGGAAGCUCCGGCUAACUACGUGCCAGCAGCCGCGGUAAUACGUAGGGAGCGAGCGUUGUCCGGAAUUACUGGGUGUAAAGGGAGCGUAGGCGGGAUCGCAAGUCAGAUGUGAAAACUAUGGGCUUAACCCAUAAACUGCAUUUGAAACUGUGGUUCUUGAGUGAAGUAGAGGUAAGCGGAAUUCCUAGUGUAGCGGUGAAAUGCGUAGAUAUUAGGAGGAACAUCAGUGGCGAAGGCGGCUUACUGGGCUUUAACUGACGCUGAGGCUCGAAAGCGUGGGGAGCAAACAGGAUUAGAUACCCUGGUAGUCCACGCCGUAAACGAUGAUUACUAGGUGUGGGGGGACUGACCCCUUCCGUGCCGCAGCAAACGCAAUAAGUAAUCCACCUGGGGAGUACGACCGCAAGGUUGAAACUCAAAGGAAUUGACGGGGGCCCGCACAAGCAGUGGAGUAUGUGGAUUAAUUCGAAGCAACGCGAAGAACCUUACCAGGUCUUGACAUCGUAUGCAUAGCUCAGAGAUGAGUGAAAUCUCUUCGGAGACAUAUAGACAGGUGGUGCAUGGUUGUCGUCAGCUCGUGUCGUGAGAUGUUGGGUUAAGUCCCGCAACGAGCGCAACCCUUACUGUUAGUUGCUACGCAAGAGCACUCUAGCAGGACUGCCGUUGACAAAACGGAGGAAGGUGGGGAUGACGUCAAAUCAUCAUGCCCCUUAUGACCUGGGCCUCACACGUACUACAAUGGCUGUCAACAGAGGGAAGCAAAGCCGCGAGGUGGAGCGAACCCCUAAAAGCAGUCUUAGUUCGGAUUGUAGGCUGCAACCCGCCUACAUGAAGUCGGAAUUGCUAGUAAUCGCAGAUCAGCAUGCUGCGGUGAAUACGUUCCCGGGCCUUGUACACACCGCCCGUCACGCCAUGGGAGUCGGUAACACCCGAAGCCUGUAGUCUAACCGCAAGGAGGACGCAGUCGAAGGUGGGAUUGAUGACUGGGGUGAAGUCGUAACAAGGUA